rnacentral:rRNA from 1 species
UACGGAGGAGGCAAGCGUUAUCCGGAAUUAUUGGGCGUAAAGCGUCCGUAGGUGGUUUAGUAAGUCUGCUGUUAAAGCGCGGGGCUUAACUCCGUAUCGGCAGUGGAAACUACUAGACUAGGGUGUGGUAGGGGUAGAGGGAAUUCCCAGUGUAGCGGUGAAAUGCGUAGAUAUUGGGAAGAACACCGGUGGCGAAGGCGCUCUACUGGGCCAUAACUGACACUGAUGGACGAAAGCUAGGGGAGCGAAAGGG